GGGAAUUUUCCGCAAUGGGCGAAAGCCUGACGGAGCAAUACCGCGUGAGGGAUGACGGCCUAUGGGUUGUAAACCUCUUUUUUCAGGGAGGAAUCAAUGACGUGUACCUGAAGAAUAAGCAUCGGCUAACUCCCGUGCCAGCAGCCGCGGUAAGACGGAGGAUGCAAGUGUUAUCCGGAAUCACUGGGCGUAAAGCGUCUGUAGGUGGUCAAGUAAGUCAACUGUUAAAUCUUGAGGCUCAACCUCAAAAUCGCAGUCGAAACUACUAGACUAGAGUAUAGUAGGGGUAAAGGGAAUUUCCAGUGGAGCGGUGAAAUGCGUAGAGAUUGGAAAGAACACCGAUGGCGAAGGCACUUUACUGGGCUAUUACUAACACUGAGAGACGAAAGCUAGGGUAGCAAAUGGGAUUAGAUACCCCAGUAGUCA
rnacentral:rRNA from 1 species